rnacentral:rRNA from 1 species
UACCCGCGGCCCGAGUGGUGCUCAUUAUUAUUGAGUCUAAAACGUCCGUAGCCGGUCUGGUCGAUGCCUGGGUAAAUCGAGGCGCUUAACGUUUCGAAUUCCGGGCAGACCGCCAGACUAGGGACCGGGAGAGGUUGGAGGUACUCCGGGGGUAGGGGUAAAAUCCUGUAAUCCUCGGAGGACCACCAGUGGCGAAGGCGUCCAACUAGAACGGAUCCGACGGUCAGGGACGAAGCCCAGGGGCGCAAACGGG